CUUUCGGUAGCAGACUUUCCAUCUUCACCCACAGAACGGACCGCUGACGUCCCCGAUCGCUGCGGAAGAUCUUGUUUGUGAGCCUGCAACACGACCUCCUGGGAAGGGCUUUCGGGAGGAGGAAACUACUGAACAAGGGUGAGGCAGUCGCGCACCGUGGCUCGUGGCUCUCUCUUACCUCCUUCCUAGCUGCAGUCAGGGAAAGAAAGCUCGCCCGCUUUCUCUCUCUCCACAAGUCGCCUUAGCCACUCUGCCACCACCUCUCUAGCCACAAAAUAGACCCAGAAAUUCCAAGCGGUUGUGUCGCAGAAGACUGGAAUUCCAGCACUUACGCUCGGGAAUCUGCGACUGGAGAAUUCCGAGGAGAUGGGUCUGGGCUGUUUUGAGUUCCAACAGUCAGCUUAAGACUAAAUAGGUAGAUCCUUUAUAGACCUUGCUUUAAAAGGGCAGGCGGACCGGUGAGCGGGCGAGGGGGAGGGGAGGACAGGACACCCUAGAGGCUGUUUGUCACUCCCCUCCCUGGAGGAGAUUCCAGUCUAAGCUUCCCUAGCAUCCGCCUACACCGACUGCAGAAAACGCUGCGCAAAUACUAACCUUCACCUAACUGGCUAAGAGUUUCUCAGGGGUCCACGUCCCACGCCGCUGUGAUGAACGGCCUUACUAGAACGAAGAAGGGAAAAUCCUGCACGCGUAUUCCACUGCAGGACAACCAGUUUUAACAAUAAGCGUGAGAAAAGAUAUUGAGAGCAGCAGUUUGCAAAGCGACUGACUAGGAUCCAAACCAUCACCGAGUCGGCCCUCAAUUCUUAGAAGGACCAAACUCUUACUGUUGACAGUCGGGAGUCAGUUUGGGAGCUGGAAAAAGUGAGAGAGCUAGCAAAAUGAACUGAAAGUAUUUACAGCAAAUAUUGCAGAGAAAGCUGCCCUCACCUCCAGAAGGGGUGGAGGAAGAAGGAAGCCGGCCUUAAAGACUGUACAAGUUUGUUCUCUGAGCCUCCUGCCAGCCCCCCCUCCAGGUUCCUGACUCCUGUUCAUACAGGGACUCUUCUGAAGAUCAGAAUGCAAAGCUCCUCUCUGUGGCCAUAUACAAGCCUAUCUCUCAUGCCACAUGUCAAGGAGCCAACGCAGAUCAUAACAGUUGCUGAAUAUGACUACAGCACUUGAGCAUUCUAGAAUUGGAAAAAAAAAAAAAAAAAAAAAAACAACCACUGUGUGUUUAAGGGCUCAUUGGAUCCAUUGCAAAUGACCUGAGCUUAAACGCCAUUGUCUCCAUAAGUUCCCAACUUCACUGCUGGACAGAGUGACAUUUGGAGUAUCCAGGUAUUGGCACUGAGCCAGAAACAGUAUCAGCAUUCCCUGGAAGUCUGACUAUUUACAUUGCAUUCGAUGCAUGGUCACUUCAUGGAUCCCUUUGGGGAAGAUGGAGAAACACAUUAGUAAGCACGGAUCUUGUCAGGGUUCUAGCAGCCUGGCUUUCCAGAGGUUCUAGGUCUGCACACUGGCGCAAGUUCAAGAAUCCAGUGAAGGAUCAUGACUGUUGUGAUUCAAGCUGGACUUCAGUGCUCUGUUUAAAUCACAUGGACAUACAGUAAAGCACUGGUCUGUUUCAUUAUAAACCACAAUUCAGUGCUAAGCCAGCUAUUCUGAUACAGUUACCACAUCUUACACAGCACAUCUUUAGGGAUUAAUAUACCCUCUUAGCUUUUGCCUCCCGGAAUUCCAUUAUUCCCAUUGCAUUCGUGGGUCUUGUUUCAAUGGCAACAGCUCUCAUUUUAAAUGCUGAUCUACAGAGAAGAGGACACAAAGAGAUAUUAAGAGAUUCUAGGGCCUCCAGCGACCAGUUUGGUGUCAAUAGUCUGUACUUAGGGACAUGUUGAUGUUCAUGGUCUGUGUUGCCACCAGAAAGCAUGUGGAAGUCCAUGAUCUGUGCAGGCCCUGGCUGUUAUGUGGCAGUGGUAUGGAUGACUGCAGACAAUGAGAGAUGCUAAAGGCUUUUAUGACAACCCCCACCCCAAAAGAAACACUACAGACAGAAAGCCAUUAAAAAGAAUCCUUUACAAUUGUGCUAA